UUAAUAUACCAAUAGCUUGUCCUUCAUGUAAUGAGCUGUGCUUCAGGAAUUUCCAUCAUAUAUAUAACUUGAGAAAUCCACAUGACUUGCAUCUUCCAAUCGAAUUUUGAUACACAACAUCAGUUUUUCAAAUAAUGUCCGGUGGCUAAGGGGUAGCAUCCCAUGCACCAUCUCUGUUGUUGGUUAAAUAAUGAAAUGUGAAGUCCAAGAAAUUAAUUCUAAAAUACAUCGUAUCAAUAUCCAGGAAGCA
rnacentral:lncRNA from 1 species